CUACCUAGUGACCGAUAGCGUAUAGUACCGUGAGGGAAAGGUGAAAAGAACCCCGGGAGGGGAGUGAAAUAGAACCUGAAACCCUGCACUUACAAGCUGUGGAAGCACAUUUCUUGUGUGACCGCGUACUUUUUGUAGAACGGGCCAACGAGUUACGUUAAGUAGCAAGGUUAAGCACUUAAGGUGUGGAGCCGUAGCGAAAGCGAGUUUUAACUGAGCGUUCAGUUACUUGACGUAGACCCGAAACCGGGCGACCUACCCAUGAGCAGGAUGAAGCGAAAGUAAAAUUUCGUGGAGGUCCGAACCCACGAGCGUUGAAAAGCUCGGGGAUGACUUGUGGGUAGCGGUGAAAUUCCAAUCGAGCCCGGAGAUAGCUGGUUCUCCCCGAAAUAGCUUUAGGGCUAGCCUCAAGGUGAGAGAUACGGAGGUAGAGCACUGAAUGUCCUAGGGGGUAUUGCACCUACCGAAGACUAUCAAACUCCGAAUGCCGUCAUCUUAUACUUGGGAGUCAGACUGUGGGUGAUAAGAUUCAUAGUCGAAAGGGCAACAGCCCAGAUCGUCAGCUAAGGUCCCUAAAUGUAAGUUAAGUGGUAAAGGAUGUGGGAUUGCACAGACAACCAGGAUGUUGGCUUAGAAGCAGCCACUCAUUCAAAGAGUGCGUAAUAGCUCACUGGUCGAGUGAUCCUGCGCCGAAGAUUUCCGGGGCUAAAACUUACUACCGAAGCUACGGCAUCAGUAAUGAUGGGUAGGGGAGCUUCCCAUACGGGUUGAAGCAUGACCGUAAGGACAUGUGGACAGUAUGGGAGUGAGAAUGUUGGCAUGAGUAGCGAGAUGUGGGUGAGAAUCCCACAGGCCGUAAACCCAAGGUUUCCAGGGGAAGGUUCGUCCGCCCUGGGUUAGUCGGGACCUAAGCUGAGGCCGAAAGGCGUAGGUGAUGGACAACAGGUUGAUAUUCCUGUACUACCGAUAACCGUUUGAGAGAAGGGAUGACACAGUAGGAUAAGCUAAGCACACUGUUGGUUAUGUGUGCCCAAGCAUUGAGGCAGUCAAAGUAGGCAAAUCCGCUUUGAUAAUGCUGGGAUGUGAUGGGGAGCGAAAUUUAGUAGCGAAGUAGCUGAUUUCACACUGUCAAGAAAAGUCUCUAUCGAGGUUAAAGGUACCCGUACCGCAAACCGACACAGGUGGGUGAGGAGAGUAUCCUAAGGCCAGCGAGAGAACUGUUGUUAAGGAACUCGGCAAAAUGACCCCGUAACUUAGGGAUAAGGGGUGCCACCAUCAGGUGGCCGCAGAGAAUAGGCCCAAGCGACUGUUUACCAAAAACAUAGGUUUCUGCUAAGUCGCAAGACGAUGUAUAGGAGCUGACGCCUGCCCGGUGCUGGAAGGUUAAGGGGAUCUGUUAGAGCAAUCGAAGCAGUGAACUUAAGCCCCAGUAAACGGCGGCCGUAACUAUAACGGUCCUAAGGUAGCGAAAUUCCUUGUCGGGUAAGUUCCGACCCGCACGAAAGGCGUAACGAUUUGGGCACUGUCUCAACAACAGACUCGGUGAAAUUGUAAUUCCGGUGAAGAUGCCGGAUACCUGCGACAGGACGGAAAGACCCCAUGGAGCUUUACUGUAGCUUGACAUUGGGUCUUGGUACUACAUGUACAGGAUAGGUGGGAGGCUUUGAAACCAGGACGCCAGUUUUGGCGGAGCCAUCCUUGGGAUACCACCCUUGUAGUACUGGGACUCUAACCAUAGGCCAUGAAUCUGGUCUUGGGACACUGUCAGGUGGGCAGUUUGACUGGGGCGGUCGCCUCCCAAAAGGUAACGGAGGCGCUCAAAGGUUCUCUCAGUACGGUCGGAAAUCGUACGUAGAGUGUAAAGGCAAAAGAGAGCUUGAUUGCAAGACAUACAGGUCGAGCAAGGAUGAAAAUCGGACUUAGUGAUCCGGUGGUUCUGCGUGGAAGGGCCAUCGCUCAACGGAUAAAAGCUACCCUGGGGAUAACAGGCUUAUCUCCCCCAAGAGUCCACAUCGACGGGGAGGUUUGGCACCUCGAUGUCGGCUCAUCACAUCCUGGGGCUGUAGUAGGUCCCAAGGGUUGGGCUGUUCGCCCAUUAAAGUGGUACGCGAGCUGGGUUCAGAACGUCGUGAGACAGUUCGGUCCCUAUCCGUCGCAGGCGUAGGAAAUUUGAGAAGACCUGUCCUUAGUACGAGAGGACCGGGAUGGACGUACCUCUGGUGUACCAGUUGUCCUGCCAAGGGCAUGGCUGGGUAGCUAUGUACGGAAUGGAUAAGCGCUGAAAGCAUCUAAGCGCGAAGCCAACUUCAAGAUAAGAUUUCCCACCGCAAGGGUAAGACCCCAGAAAGACUAUCUGGUUGAUAGGUCGAAGGUGUAAGUGCAGCAAUGUAUUUAGCUUAUCGAUACUAAUAGGUCGAGGACUUGACC
rnacentral:rRNA from 1 species